UGAGGAAUAUUGGUCAAUGGGCGCAAGCCUGAACCAGCCAUGCCGCGUGCAGGAAGAAUGCCCUAUGGGUUGUAAACUGCUUUUAUUUAGGAAUAAACUCUUGUACGUGUACAAGCCUGAAGGUACUAAAUGAAUAAGCACCGGCUAACUCCGUGCCAGCAGCCGCGGUAAUACGGAGGGUGCAAGCGUUAUCCGGAAUCAUUGGGUUUAAAGGGUCCGCAGGCGGAUUUAUAAGUCAGUGGUGAAAUCCUAUCGCUUAACGAUAGAACUGCCAUUGAUACUGUAGGUCUUGAAUUCGGUCGAAGUGGGCGGAAUGUGUAGUGUAGCGGUGAAAUGCAUAGAUAUUACACAGAACACCGAUAGCGAAGGCAGCUCACUAGGCCUGGAUUGACGCUCAGGG
rnacentral:rRNA from 1 species